CAGCAGCCGCGGUAACACGAAGGGUGCAAGCGUUACUCGGAAUUACUGGGCGUAAAGCGUGCGUAGGUGGUGGUUUAAGUCCGUUGUGAAAGCCCUGGGCUCAACCUGGGAAUUGCAGUGGAUACUGGGUCACUAGAGUGUGGUAGAGGAUAGUGGAAUUUCCGGUGUAGCAGUGAAAUGCGUAGAGAUCGGAAGGAACAUCUGUGGCGAAGGCGACUAUCUGGGUUAACACUGACACUGAGGCACGAAAGCGUGGGGAGCAAACAGGAUUAGAUACCCCUGUAGUCCCUGUCUCUUAUAC
rnacentral:rRNA from 1 species